rnacentral:rRNA from 1 species
GAGUGAACGCUGGCGGUAGGCCUAACCCAUGCAAGUCGAACGGCAGCCCAGUAAGAGCUUGCUCUUACGGGUGGCGAGUGGCGGACGGGUGAGGAAUACAUCGGAAUCUACUUUUUCGUGGGGGAUAACGUAGGGAAACUUACGCUAAUACCGCACACGACCUACGGGUGAAAGCAGGGGAUCUUCGGACCUUGCGCGAUUGAAUGAGCCGAUGUCGGAUUAGCUAGUUGGCGGGGUAAAGGCCCACCAAGGCGACGAUCCGUAGCUGGUCUGAGAGGAUGAUCAGCCACACUGGAACUGAGACACGGUCCAGACUCCUACGGGAGGCAGCAGUGGGGAAUAUUGGACAAUGGGCGCAAGCCUGAUUCAGCCAUACCGCGUGGGUGAAGAAGGCCUUCGGGUUGUAAAGCCCUUUUGUUGGGAAAGAAAAGCAGCAGGUUAAUACCCCGCUGUUCUGACGGUACCCAAAGAAUAAGCACCGGCUAACUUCGUG